GAUGAACGCUGGCGGCGUGCCUAAUACAUGCAAGUCGAGCGAACGGACGAGAAGCUUGCUUUUCUGAUGUUAGCGGCGGACGGGUGAGUAACACGUGGAUAACCUACCUAUAAGACUGGGAUAACUUCGGGAAACCGGAGCUAAUACCGGAUAAUAUUUUGAACCGCAUGGUUCAAAAGUGAAAGACGGUCUUGCUGUCACUUAUAGAUGGAUCCGCGCUGCAUUAGCUAGUUGGUAAGGUAACGGCUUACCAAGGCAACGAUGCAUAGCCGACCUGAGAGGGUGAUCGGCCACACUGGAACUGAGACACGGUCCAGACUCCUACGGGAGGCAGCAGUAGGGAAUCUUCCGCAAUGGGCGAAAGCCUGACGGAGCAACGCCGCGUGAGUGAUGAAGGUCUUCGGAUCGUAAAACUCUGUUAUUAGGGAAGAACAUAUGUGUAAGUAUCUGUGCACAUCUUGACGGUACCUAAUCAGAAAGCCACGGCUAACUACGUG
rnacentral:rRNA from 1 species